CACUGAGCACCGCACGCGCUCCUACAUCAUAUAUGCUGCAGGCUGGUAAUUUUCCUCUAGACAUCCUAUCGGACAGACUGAACCAUCCGUUAUGUAACGCUCUCUCGCCGUGCGCGCUGCAGGUCUUACCGGGAAUGAUGGCCGGUGGUGGUGUCCUUGAUGUCGGUGGUCGGAGGAGACGGAAUCUUGCGAAGAGUCACGGCUGUUGUACGAGGUGCACAGUUCCGGGGAUGAAUGAAAUACAGACAGACCGUUACUGUCAGUAAUCCACGGGAGAUCCAACGCGAACCACAAGCCCCGCCCCUCCCAGUUCCUGUAUUAAGGCUUUUUUUGUACUGGCGUCACUGGAAGGGCUCAGCAUCCCCCCUGAUCUUAAUACAUGCCUUUGCAAAAUGGUUAUCAAGCAGCCAAUCAGCCUUGGUGGAGGCUCCACAAAAUGCGAACCGUGCUGCGAAUGGAUCGGGCCCAGUCUAUAUCCAGGACAUGCUUAAACAGCGAGGGACACAUAGCCACACAAGAAAAUCAUGACUGUUUGCUGUCCUUGCUCCAAAAUGGUGGAACAAGCUCCCCAUUGACAUCAGGACAACAUGUCUACACAUCUUCCGCCGCAGACUAAAGACACAUCUCUUCAGAUUACACCUUGGUUAAGAAGAUGGUCUAAGUCAAGUUGCAUUUAUUGCAAUGCUUGUUGCAAUUACAUGUAGCACUCUGUAGUUUGGCUUUUUUAAGCUUAUUUACUCUAUUCUUGCUGUUUUGGGUUUGUACGCUCAUGCUUGAAUGCACUUAUUGGAAGUUGCUUUGAAUAAAAGCGUCAGCAAAAUGA